rnacentral:piRNA from 1 species
UGAUAUAUUGGACCCUGACAACAAUACC